rnacentral:lncRNA from 10 species
CCGACACUGAAAGCCCCGGCCAUAGUCUUUCUGCCCCAAGGAAAGCCUGGGGUGGGGGUGGGUGAUAUUGUCAAGAGCCAGGCCCCAGCUCCUCAUACACACAGCUCAUUUGCUCUCCCUCCCAACCCCCACCUUCAUACUUCUUCCACACGCAUACCAAAGAAAAUAAGAAUCUCAAGGUUGGAAAAUCCCACUUUACUUCAAGUGAAGUCACUGGGUUGUCCCCAUGAAAUAUCUCCACAAUGGGUGUGCUAGACCUUUACUCUCUGUGGCACCACCAAGACCCCCUCACCCUGCCAGAGCCCUCUGAAGUGUACUCAGAAUGGAGGGGCUGGAAGUGGGGCCAGUGGUCCUGGUAGUCAGCCUCCCCUUCUGACACAAGAAUUAUCGUGGAACAGCUUGUGUGACCGAUCAACUGGUCUCUCCAUCUUUAAGCCAUUGUCUUGUUGACUCUGUUACUGCAGAGUUUGGGGAGGUCUCAUGGCUUCUCGCAUCCUAUUUCCUGAGCUUCCCUGAAGCCAACUUCUGGCCACUGGUAUGUGAUGCGAGCACAGUGCCUCCUCCUGCUCCUCCAGGAAGCUUCUGCUGAUUGAACGCAGGCCAGAUGGCGAGAUCCGGAGCAACCUUCUUAGAUCAAGGGAAGAAAGGGGCACAAGAGGGGAGUAGGUAACAAGAUAAAAGGAGCUCCCUCCCUGAUGACUACAGAGCCAUCGUGGCAGCCCUGGGCCUCCAUUUCAGACGUUCAUCUUGCCUAAGCCACCACCAUCAGGGUCUCAGUCAGUCAUCAUUCUCAUUUACUCGGGUGGCUGGGUGAGGGCGGAAUACUACCUUCCAGCUGUCUGAGAUUAAGCCUAAGCCACCACCAUCAGGGUCUCAGUCAGUCAUCAUUCUCAUUUACUCGGGUGGCUGGGCGAGGGCGGAAUACUACCUUCCAGCUGUCUGAGAUUAAGCAGAACAGCAGCUAAAGCAGUAACAGCAGGUCUCCUUCAGCAGCUUGCCACAGGGAAGAGGGUCCCGCGUGAACCGAACUCAACUUCCACCUGCGCAGAGGUAGCUACCAUUUGCGUAGAGGUAGCUGGGUCUUUAAGGUUAGAGGGAAGGCGCAGGGAGGGAGAGACGGCGGGUGGGGGUUGAACAAAGUGGAGAUUCACAAAAGCAGACUAGGGCGGGCGACGUGAUCAGAUGACCUGUGCGGGCGGCAGCCUCCUGCCCUCCUCCCCUUCGUGCGCCGGCUGGAGCGAAGAGUUCUUUUGACAGCCGUGAGCUUCCCCGCCAGGAACUUACUGGGGCUGCAUCACCCUAGAAACGUGGCUUUGGGCUGUGGAAACGCUGCCUCUGUGGAAGUCUCUCCUCGCGGGGGUGGACGGGUCGCUGCGCGCCCAGCGUUCUUCUGCGGUUCUCACAGCCCGCCGCCGCCGCCGCCUCGGGGACCUUUGCGGGGAGGCCUCAGGGCACCUUCCUCCUCUCUCUCAGGCACGUCCUCGACCUCAGUUGCCACGUGCACAUGCUGGUGCCUUCCAGGCUGGAGUAUAGUGGCAUGAUCAUAGAUCACUGCAGCCUCAAACUCCUGGGCUCAAGCGAUCCUCCCACCUCAGCCUCCAUAUAGCUGGUGGGGACCAAGUUUCUAACACAUGAAUGUUGGGAGACACAUUCAGACCAUCGCAGUGGCCUUAUAAAAAGAGACACAAGAGCUUGCUCUCUGCCAUGUGAGAAUACCACAAGAAGACUGUCCUCAGCAAAUCAGAAAGCGGGUGGACCCUCAUCAGACACCAGAUGUGCCUGCACCUUGAUCUUGGACUUGCCAGCCUUCAGAACAGCCAUCAGCUGGAUGAAGAAUUAAUUUAGUAAGCAUGAAACAGCUUGCAAAGCAUUGGUGAGUGGCUGAGGGCCAUGAAACGAGACCACCGUGUGGCCCAUCUCUGAAGAUGAAUCCAACAGCAGUGACUCUACCUGCGUCCUCCCCAUCUUUUCUGCUUUUUCAUACAAUGGCUUAUUCACUGCGUGUGACAUCAUCACUAGCACUGUGUUUAUCUAUCACAUUUCUUCUGUUUUGUGGGUUUGUUUUGCAUUAAAGGUCUACUUCUCUGAGCUUUGAGCUGUAAGGCUUGACUGUGAGCAGCAACUGAAGAGUGUGGCACCUCACACUCGGUAGGAAGAAGCUGAAUGACAGAUGUCGGCAGUGAGGGUGGGGAAAGCAGCCAGGUACCAAGCAGCUGUUUUUUAGGCUAACCAUUGAAGGGAAGCUCCUAAUCCCUGAGUUAACUUUUAGCAGAGAUUAACUCAGUCUAUCUAUUGGGAUGUAAAGGAUUUGGGCAUAAAGGUAUGUUAAUUCGGAGGCUCUGGAAUGUAUAACAAUUUCUCCCAUUGAAAUUUAUGAUAAUUAAGUGUUCAACUUACUGGAAUUUUCCCCACAAGACUCUUCUGGGAUGAAUUUGCCUUGGGGAGAAGACUACGUAACUGAAAACCAGCAUCCAGGCCCUCAAGAAGAAAUAUAAUCUCCAACAGUCUCCUUUUCAAUUUCUGUCAAAUGUCUGGCUUCUCUUGAAGGGAUGUUCACGAGAAGGGACAGCCGCCCUCCUCCGAGCCUCCUGUUUCAGCUGAUGCACCUUCAAGUACAAGGUCCUGUUCUUGGGCUCUGUUAAAGUUUCCCUCAAGAAAAAAACCUUACAUUUGCCAAUGCACUUGAUGUAAAGUUGUUGAGGAUGUUGACUCUCCUUUAAACAUUUAUUGAAGCUAGGAAUAAACUUAACUGGACCUGUGUAUAGGAAAUCUUAAAUUUCUACUAAGAGAUGAAAAAAAGAAUUCCCUUCCCUUCCUUAACAAUUCAGCUCCCGUUACACAAAACCAAACAAGAUGGGAUUCUGUUGUGGGGGGACAGAACUUCAUUGUCCUGAAGCUAGGUGUUGGAGCCCAAGCAGGGUGAGGAGGGAGUCAAGGAGGCCCAUGUGGUGGUGGAGCAUGGCCUGGCAUGGGUCUCAGUGCCCAAGCAAGGUGAAGAGGGGACCAUGCAGGGAGUGAGGGUGUCACUGCCCAAGUGAGGUGAGUAGGGCAAUUUUGAAAAGUCAUGAAAGUUGAGGAAGGGCUGAGGCACCAUUCUAGAUUGAAGGAGACUAAAAAGAUGCAACACUCACAAUGCACAAUUCUAAACUGAAAUCUUUGCUCUAAAGGACAUUAGGACAAUGAAAGAAACUUGCACGGGGUCUGAGCAUUAGGUAGUAGUAAUGAAUUGAUGUUGAGUCCCUAAUUUUCAUGGUUGUAUGCUGAUGAUGUAGGAGGUUCUUGUAGGAAAUACACACUCAAAAGUAUUCUGAGGUGAUGGGGCAUCAUAUCAGAAGCUUAUUCUCAAAUGGUUCAGGAAGGAAAAAGUUUUAUACUAUACUUCUUUGGCAAGUUUAGAUUGUUUCAAAAUAAAAUUUUUUUAAAAAGAGCAUUUGUUAACCAUCAGUUUGGUAAAAGGUGAAAAAUGUUGAUAAUACCUAGUGUUUGUGAAGGUGUGGAGAAACAAAGUUUCAUACACUAUUGUCAAAAGUAUAAAUUGUUACAAUAUUUUUGGAGAGCAAUUUUCCAGUAUGUAGCAAAAAUUUAAAAGCAAAUCUUAACUCAGCAAUUCUGCCUUUAGAAAUGUAUUUGUAGGAUAACAUACAGGAGAGAAAAAUGUAUUUUACUGCAACACUGUUGAUACUAACAAAAACUGGAAACCACCAAAACAUUUAUCAUGAGGGGGUUAAGUAAAGUAUGGUAUAACUAUACAAUGAGUGUACUAGGAAACCCUUAGAAAGAAUGCAGAAAGAUGUAUGUGGACUUUUACAGAAAGGUGAGCUACUGUCUAAAUGCAAAUGUGCCAAUAUCAUGUAUAUACAGUCAGGUUCCUUUUGUUAAAAACCAAAAGCGUAUGUUUAGAAGCAAAAGCACUCAUAUAAAGGCCUGGUAUAGAGCAGUGGCUAAAAACAGUGCCAAGAUACUGCCUCAACUUCCUCUCACAUGCUGCCCUGG